GACGAACGCUGGCGGCGUGCUUAACACAUGCAAGUCGAACGAAGCUUGAUUACGGAUUCUUCGGAUGAAGUAUGAUAUGACUGAGUGGCGGACGGGUGAGUAACGCGUGAGUAACCUGCCCUUCAGAGGGGGAUAGCGUCUGGAAAUGAACGGUAAUACCGCAUAAUGUAUUUUGACCGCAUGAACGAAAUACCAAAGAUUUAUCGCUGAAGGAUGGACUCGCGUCUGAUUAGGUAGUUGGUGGGGUAACGGCCUACCAAGCCGACGAUCAGUAGCCGGAGUGAGAGGUUGAGCGGCCACAUUGGGACUGAGACACGGCCCAGACUCCUACGGGAGGCAGCAGUGGGGGAUAGUGCACAAUGGGCGCAAGCCUGAUGCAGCAACGCCGCGUGAAGGAAGACGGUUUUCGGAUUGUAAACUUCUGUUCUUAGUGAAGAAUAAUGACGGUAGCUAAGGAGCAAGCCACGGCUAACUACGUG
rnacentral:rRNA from 1 species